rnacentral:misc_RNA from 1 species
UCAUGUACGCGGACACAGCCACACCCAAUCGUUCUUUGCUUCCCCUGAACAGAGGCGUGGAAUGAGCUUCCAACUUUUUACGAACCGCGCCAAUUCGUCUUCUUGUCGUUGGAGAAAAAAGAACGGAUUAAGACUCACCUGGCGUGGAGAACGACCACGCGAUUCGAAGCACCGUUCAGCCAGGAGUCCAGCUCCUUGCAUAGGGCGCACAGUCUUUCCAAACUGGGUGCCAGACCCUGCGGCCAUCCUGCUUCCCUGGUAUUUGGCUCCCCGGUACGACCCGGCGAUGACAAAUUGAAUCAUAUAAUUAUCACCGUGCUUUCCUCGCAGAAGUGCGGUAGCAUGUUCAAGGACGCCCUGCGCAUCCUCCCUGUACCAGAGCGCAAUGAUUCUUUCGGUGACGUAACAAAGCUCCAUUACUUCUGUAACACGACCUCCACCUUUUCCUGGUCCUGUCGUCGUCGCGUCCGCGCCGACGCCCGGCGUCCUUGCAGGUGCCGUCGCCGACAAGGACGUCUGUAUCUGAAACACGGGCAUUCUUAUUAGUAUCAUUGAUCUUUACGCGCACAUUUAAUAAUUAUCCUUAGUAGAUAAGGCACAUAGAACUUAAUUUCAUUGCUUCUUAUGAAGUUUUUAUGAAGUUCUUGCGCACCAAAAUUUCCUAUAGAAAAGACCGAAGAAGAAACUUGUUCAUCUGGUUAGUUUUACGCUGCAGAUUUCCUUUUUAUUGAGAAUAAAGAAUUUUACAAACGGCUUUGGUAUACACGAAUUCUAAUUUCUACUAAACUGCUUUCUACAGAAUUCUUUAUAUCCAGAAUUCUAAACAAAGGACUCAAGGAGAAUACUCGGCUCGCUACAAAUAUUCGCAUUUCAUAUCGCAUUUUCCCGAAAAACAAAUAAUUCUAGAGUUGCCUCCAAGGUAUGGAACCUAGUUUCGCAAAUCGCCUCUUACGGAAUUUCUUCUGCUCGAAAUAUUCUAAAGAAGCCCAUUGAAGAAGCACUUCGCUCACUUCACCAGCAAUACGCACAAUUUAUAUUCCUAUUUUACCGAACAAAAAACUUACAGUCUGCCCUGCAUGAAAUUUCUUAUAAACCAAAAUUAUCCAAUAAACAUAUCUAAGAAGCACUCUGCUCACUUUACUACCAAUAUUCUUCUUUUAUAUUCCACUUUUGCCUCGAAAAAAGUUACUUUAGAUUUACUACCUAAAUUCAGCACAUUACUUCAUAGAUACUAUAUGAAGUCCACAACUGAAAAACAUGAUAAAUCAUAUUUUCUAUCCUUUAUAAAAGAACUGUUUUA